rnacentral:rRNA from 1 species
AUACGGAGGGUGCAAGCGUUGUUCGGAAUCACUGGGCGUAAAGGGCGCGCAGGCGGUUUGGUAAGUCAGAUGUGAAAGCCCACGGCUCAACCGUGGAAGUGCAUUUGAAACUGCCAGACUUGGGUAACAGAGGGGAAAGUGGAAUUCCCGGUGUAGAGGUGAAAUUCGUAGAUAUCGGGAGGAAUACCGGUGGCGAAGGCGACUUUCUGGCUGGAUACUGACGCUGAGGCGCGAAAGCGUGGGGAGCAAACAGGAUUAGAUACCCUAGUAGUCC